GGGAACACUGGAGACGCGCGGCUGCGGGAUCGCGCGUGGGCAGGGCAGGGGUCGAACAGCUCCUACACCCUUGCGGGGCGGGGUUCCUGCCUCCCUUUCUACCCCCUCCGCCUUCGCCGUCGCCAUGGUGACGCGUAGCCGGUCGCCCUGGCGCCAUCCUGCCGCCACGUUGGUGACGUCACAGUCUCGCCAUCUGCUGUCACGAUGGGCGGUGUCGAUGGGCGUGGCCUGAGUGGGCGUUGGCGAGUAGUCGAUUCCUGGAACACUGAGAUUUCGUUAUUCAAACUGCAGAAGUCUCAGCAAAACCACAGUGAUGUCAUCACCCUGAAUGUACAGCAUACACUGCCCUAAGAAGGAUCUCGGGAAGCCACAAUGUGAAGCUGCCUCUUCAUCACAUGCCCUGGCACCAAGGUAGAGGGUUGAAUGGUGUUCUCCAAAAUUCAUGCUUAUUUGGACCCUCAGAAUGUGACCUUAAUUGGAAAUAUGUGGAUGUAAUUACUUAAAUUAAGAUGAAUAUAUAAGCUGGGCAUAAAAAAAAA